rnacentral:misc_RNA from 1 species
GGUUCGAUUAUGGCUCAGAUUGAACGCUGGCGGGAUGCUACACAUGCAAGUCGAACGGCAGCACGGACUUCGGUCUGGUGGCGAGUGGCGAACGGGUGAGUAAUGUAUCGGAACGUGCCUAGUAGCGGGGAUAACUACGCGAAAGCGUAGCUAAUACCGCAUACGCCCUUCGGGGAAAGCGGGGGACCUUCGGGCCUCGCACUAUUAGAGCGGUCGAUAUCGGAUUAGCUAGUUUGGUGGG